rnacentral:rRNA from 1 species
UACCAGCUCUCCGAGUGGUGUGGAUGUUUAUUGGGCCUAAAGCAUCCGUAGCUGGCUGGACAAGUCCCCUGUUUAAUCCACCGAUUUAAUCGUUGGUGUGCGGGGGAUACUGUUCGGCUAGGGGACGGGAGAGGCCGACGGUAUUUCCGGGGUAGGGGUGAAAUCCUAUAAUCCCGGGAAGACCACCAGUGGCGAAGGCUGUCGGCUAGAACGCGCCCGACGGUGAGGGAUGAAAGCUGGGGGAGCGAACCGGAUUAGAUACCCGGGUAGUCCCAGCUGUAAACGAUGCAGGCUAGGUGUUUGGGCGGGCCACGUGCCGCUCUAGUGCUGCAAGGAAGCUGUUAAGCCUGCCGCCUGGGGAGUACGGCCGCAAGGCUGAAACUUAAAGGAAUUGGCGGGGGAGCACCACAAGGGGUGAAGCUUGCGGUUU